CCUACGGGAGGCAGCAGUGGGGAAUAUUGCACAAUGGGCGAAAGCCUGAUGCAGCGACGCCGCGUGAGGGAUGACGGCCUUCGGGUUGUAAACCUCUUUCAGCAGGGAAGAAGCGAGAGUGACGGUACCUGCAGAAGAAGCGCCGGCUAACUACGUGCCAGCAGCCGCGGUAAUACGUAGGGCGCAAGCGUUGUCCGGAAUUAUUGGGCGUAAAGAGCUCGUAGGCGGCUUGUUGCGUCGGUUGUGAAAGCCCGGGGCUUAACCCCGGGUCUGCAGUCGAUACGGGCAGGCUAGAGUGUGGUAGGGGAGAUCGGAAUUCCUGGUGUAGCGGUGAAAUGCGCAGAUAUCAGGAGGAACACCGGUUGGCGAAGGCGGAUCUCUGGGCCAUUACUGACGCUGAGGAGCGAAAGCGUGGGGAGCGAACAGGAUUAGAUACCCUGGUAGUCCACGCCGUAAACGUUGGGAACUAGGUGUUGGCGACAUUCCACGUCGUCGGUGCCGCNGCUACGACAUUAACGUUACCCGUCCCGUCGGGAGGUACGGCCGCGACGACGUAAACGUUAAACGUAGUAAGUUAGUACGGUUCGUUGUAGACGUUGCCGAACGGCGACCGACGAGGGGAGGUUAGG
rnacentral:rRNA from 1 species